rnacentral:rRNA from 1 species
CCUGGUUGAUCCUGCCAGUAACACAUGCUUGUCUCAAAGAUUAAGACAUGCAGGUCUAAGUGCACAAGGCCGGUACAGUGAAACUGCGAUGGCUCAUUAAAUCAGAUGGUUCCUUUGAUCGCUCCCACCCGUACUUGGAUAACUGUGGCAAUUCCAGAGCUAAUACAUGCAAACGAGCGCUGACUGGGCCCCUUCACGGGGGGCUGCGGAUGCGUGCAUUUAUCAGAUCCAAAAACCCAUCCGGGGGCCUCGUGCUUUGGUGACUCUAGAUAACCCCGGGCCGCUCGCGCGCCCUCGGUGGUGACGAUUUGUCUUUCGAAUAUCUGCCCUAUCAACUUUCGAUGGUACUUUCAGCGCCUACCAUGGUGACCACGGGUAACAAGGAAUCAGGGUUCGAUUCCGGACAGGGAGCCUGAGAAAUGGCUAUCACAUCCAAGGAAGGUAGCAGGCGCGCAAAUUACCCAUUUCUGACACAGUGAGGUAGUGACGAAAAAUAACAAUACAGGUCUCUUUCGAGCCCCUGUAAUUGGAAUGAGCGUAUCCUAAACCCAUGGGUGAGGACCCAUUGGAGGGCAAGUCUGGAGCCAGCAGCCGUGGUAAUUCCAGCUCCAAUAGCGUAUAUUAAAGUUGCUGCAGUUAAAAGCAAUUCCUCUGCCCGCGAUGCGAAGUCUAACGGUAGUGUGAAGGUUCGUUGCGGUGAUUGCUAAUACUACAGCACCAGAAGGAGGAAUGGGUCCCUGUAACGGUUUUGCCUCGUAUGCCUGAGUGGCCUAAGAAACAGGGCUUGGUAGGUGUGCCCAGAGGUGCUAGCCCUUCAAAUAUAACCCUCAAUAUCGGUCUGAGCAAAGUGGAGAAAAAUGGUGUCCACCACCAUAUAGCACCUGUAGACGGUGUUUAUGGGCCAAACUGUGGGAAGCCCCGAGUGAACCUGUUUGUUCCACAGCGAGUCCCCUGCCAGUGUCGCUAACACGGAGCGUACACACCCGCCGCGUCUCAACAUGCAUGGCCUAUGGAAGGCAACCGAGGGCAUUUCUCAUUAAUGAGGGCUGUAGAAUGAGUGGGAGGCUCUUCUAGCCUGACGAGCCAGACCCACAUCAAGAUGUAGGGUCUGGACACUCACCGUAGACAGGGCUCAAUCGGAGGGGUGGGAUAAACAGUUGUCUUUCAAAUUCCCUCCCCGCAAUAGGAUAACGCUAAACGAAUCAUCUU